rnacentral:sRNA from 1 species
AUUUGUGGUUGGUCUCGCAAGCUGUGGUUGGAGUGUUAGGAAACAUCAAUUGAGGCUAGUGUUUGGCGAUUUAAGAAGAUUGUUAGUGGUAUGCAGGACUGAGACAUACCAUUUGGAGUUGCGAAGGCCCUUAGUGAAGGAACCAAAGGACAUUGAGUGAACAUUCAGAGGCGUGUUAAGGACUGCAAAGUAUUUGAAGGGUAAGAUAAGUGGAGGAAGCUUUUGGGAUUGAAAAAGGAAAGCACCACAAAAGGCUAUUAAAGGAUGGUUUUGGGAGAA